rnacentral:sRNA from 1 species
UAGACUAAAAAUUAACCGCUUUUUUUAGAGUUAGCGCACGGCUCAUCCCAUGAGCCAUUCCCCUAUACCCGGAACAAUCUGGAUUGGUUCCGGGUUUUUUUUA